CAGCUAGCUUAUCCACUAAUAUAAAUAAACAAUAUAAAUAAAAUAAAAUAGACCAAACGCCAAAAACUAAACCAUUCUUUUACCUGAGUAUGGGAGACAGAAAAGGUUCAACCAAAGCAAUAGAAAAAGUACCGCAAGGGAAAGCUGAAAGAGAAGUGAAACAAUCCAUAUAAGUAUUAAAAAGCAAAGACUAAACCUUGUACCUUUUGCAUCAUGAUUUAGCCAGUAAACACAAGCAAAGAGACCUUUAGUUUGAAACCCCGAAACCAGGUGAGCUACCCCGAGACAGCCUAUUAAGGGCCAACCCGUCUCUGUGGCAAAAGAGUGGGAAGAGCUCCGGGUAGAAGUGAUAGACCUACCGAACCUGGUGAUAGCUGGUUGCCUAAGAAAUGAAUAGAAGUUCAGCCUCGUGCCCCUCAAGUCAAACAAGCACUAACCAAGAUAUUAAGAGAAAAACACGAGAGUUAGUUAAAGGGGGUACAGCCCCUUUAACAAAGGAUACAACCUUAUACAGGAGGAUAAAGAUCAUAAUAUAUAAAACAUACUGUUCUAGUGGGCCUAAAAGCAGCCACCUAAACAGAAAGCGUUAAAGCUCAGACAGAAGAAAGUUUAUUAUUCUGAUAAAAAAUCUUACUCCCCUAAAUACUAUUAGGCUAAUCCAUGCCCUCAUGGAAGAAAUUAUGCUAAAAUGAGUAACAAGAAGGCCCGCCCUUCUCCUAGCACAAGUGUAAGCCAAACCGGACCAACCAUUGGCAACUAACGAACUCAACCCAAGAGAGCAAUGUGAGCCAUAAAAAGAACAAGAAAACCCCACAACUCAAUAAUCGUUAACCCCACACUGGAGUGCUAUUAAAGGAAAGACUAAAAGAAAAGGAAGGAACUCGGCAAACACAAGCCUCGCCUGUUUACCAAAAACAUCGCCUCCUGCAACACAGCCAUGUAUAGGAGGUCCAGCCUGCCCAGUGACUACAAGUUCAACGGCCGCGGUAUUUUGACCGUGCAAAGGUAGCGCAAUCACUUGUCUUUUAAAUAGAGACCUGUAUGAAUGGCUAAACGAGGGCUUAACUGUCUCCCCUUUCAAGUCAGUGAAAUUGAUCUGCCCGUGCAGAAGCG
rnacentral:rRNA from 1 species